ACUAAAUAAAUUAAAAUUUGAAAUUCAUUCAAAAAUUCAAAACGUGAAAUUCAAAGAGUUUAAAUGGCCUUAGGGCCCGAAUAAAUAGGAGUUCACAUUAUAAAUUAAACAUGAAGAUUUUCAGGGUGUUACAGGUUCUGUUUCUCCCCCUUAUCUGGUCUGAAAAGACGUGCAAGGACUGCUCCCUAUGGAUGAUGACCCUUUGAUGAGAGUGGUAACGUGAUAUGAUUGUAGGGGUCACCUUUGGCGACGUAUGACCAUAACUAU
rnacentral:lncRNA from 1 species